rnacentral:rRNA from 1 species
CCAGACUCCUACGGGAGGCAGCAGUGGGGAAUAUUGGGCAAUGGGCGCAAGCCUGACGCAGCAACGCCGCGUGAACGAGACGCCCUUCGGGGUGUAAAGUUCUGUCAGUGGGGACGAAAGAUGACGGUACCCACAGAGGAAGCACCGGCUAACUCCGUGCCAGCAGCCGCGGUAAUACGUAGGGAGCGAGCGUUGUCCGGAAUUACUGGGUGUAAAGGGAGCGUAGGCGGGGAUGCAAGUUGGGUGUCAAAACUACCGGCUCAACUGGUAGUCGCACUCAAAACUGCAGCUCUUGAGUGAAGUAGAGGCAGGCGGAAUUCCUAGUGUAGCGGUGAAAUGCGUAGAUAUUAGGAGGAACACCAGUGGCGAAGGCGGCCUGCUGGGCUUUUACUGACGCUGAGGCUCGAAAGUGUGGGGAGCAAACAGGAUUAGAUACCCCGGUAC